AGAGAUAUGGCUCAGUGGAAGAGCCUCUGCUUUGCAUGCAGAAGGUUCCAGCUUCAUUCCCAGCAUCUUCA
rnacentral:tRNA from 1 species